rnacentral:rRNA from 1 species
GGGUUGUGAGGUUAAGCGACUAAGCGUACACGGUGGAUGCCCUGGCAGUCAGAGGCGAUGAAGGGCGUACUAAUCUGCGAUAAGCGCCGGUAAGGUGAUAUGAACCGUUAUAACCGGCGAUACCCGAAUGGGGAAACCCAGUGUGAUUCGUCACACUAUCAUUAACUGAAUCCAUAGGUUAAUGAGGCGAACCGGGGGAACUGAAACAUCUAAGUACCCCGAGGAAAAGAAAUCAACCGAGAUUCCCCCAGUAGCGGCGAGCGAACGGGGAGGAGCCCAGAGCCUGAAUCAGCAUGUGUGUUAGUGGAAGCGUCUGGAAAGGCGCGCGAUACAGGGUGACAGCCCCGUACACAAAAGCGCAUGUGCUGUGAGCUCGAUGAGUAGGGCGGGACACGUGGUAUCCUGUCUGAAUAUGGGGGGACCAUCCUCCAAGGCUAAAUACUCCUGACUGACCGAUAGUGAACCAGUACCGUGAGGGAAAGGCGAAAAGAACCCCGGCGAGGGGAGUGAAAAAGAACCUGAAACCGUGUACGUACAAGCAGUGGGAGCACCCUUUGGGUGUGACUGCGUACCUUUUGUAUAAUGGGUCAGCGACUUAUAUUCUGUAGCAAGGUUAACCGAAUAGGGGAGCCGGAGGGAAACCGAGUCUUAAUUGGGCGUUAAGUUGCAGGGUAUAGACCCGAAACCCGGUGAUCUAGCCAUGGGCAGGUUGAAGGUUGGGUAACACUAACUGGAGGACCGAACCGACUAAUGUUGAAAAAUUAGCGGAUGACCUGUGGCUGGGGGUGAAAGGCCAAUCAAACCGGGAGAUAGCUGGUUCUCCCCGAAAGCUAUUUAGGUAGCGCCUCGUGAAUUCAUCUCCGGGGGUAGAGCACUGUUUCGGCUAGGGGGCCAUCCCGGCUUACCAACCCGAUGCAAACUGCGAAUACCGGAGAAUGUUAUCACGGGAGACACACGGCGGGUGCUAACGUCCGUCGUGAAGAGGGAAACAACCCAGACCGCCAGCUAAGGUCCCAAAGUCAUGGUUAAGUGGGAAACGAUGUGGGAAGGCCCAGACAGCCAGGAUGUUGGCUUAGAAGCAGCCAUCAUUUAAAGAAAGCGUAAUAGCUCACUGGUCGAGUCGGCCUGCGCGGAAGAUGUAACGGGGCUAAACCAUGCACCGAAGCUGCGGCAGCGACACUGUGUGUUGUUGGGUAGGGGAGCGUUCUGUAAGCCUGUGAAGGUGUGUCGUGAGGCAUGCUGGAGGUAUCAGAAGUGCGAAUGCUGACAUAAGUAACGAUAAAGCGGGUGAAAAGCCCGCUCGCCGGAAGACCAAGGGUUCCUGUCCAACGUUAAUCGGGGCAGGGUGAGUCGACCCCUAAGGCGAGGCCGAAAGGCGUAGUCGAUGGGAAACGGGUUAAUAUUCCCGUACUUGGUGUUACUGCGAAGGGGGGACGGAGAAGGCUAUGUUGGCCGGGCGACGGUUGUCCCGGUUUAAGCGUGUAGGUGUGUGUUCCAGGUAAAUCCGGUUCACUUUAACACUGAGGCGUGACGACGAGGCACUACGGUGCUGAAGCAACAAAUGCCCUGCUUCCAGGAAAAGCCUCUAAGCAUCAGGUAACAUCAAAUCGUACCCCAAACCGACACAGGUGGUCAGGUAGAGAAUACCAAGGCGCUUGAGAGAACUCGGGUGAAGGAACUAGGCAAAAUGGUGCCGUAACUUCGGGAGAAGGCACGCUGACACGUAGGUGAAGUGAUUUACUCAUGGAGCUGAAGUCAGUCGAAGAUACCAGCUGGCUGCAACUGUUUAUUAAAAACACAGCACUGUGCAAACACGAAAGUGGACGUAUACGGUGUGACGCCUGCCCGGUGCCGGAAGGUUAAUUGAUGGGGUCAGCGCAAGCGAAGCUCCUGAUCGAAGCCCCGGUAAACGGCGGCCGUAACUAUAACGGUCCUAAGGUAGCGAAAUUCCUUGUCGGGUAAGUUCCGACCUGCACGAAUGGCGUAAUGAUGGCCAGGCUGUCUCCACCCGAGACUCAGUGAAAUUGAACUCGCUGUGAAGAUGCAGUGUACCCGCGGCAAGACGGAAAGACCCCGUGAACCUUUACUAUAGCUUGACACUGAACAUUGAGCCUUGAUGUGUAGGAUAGGUGGGAGGCUUUGAAGUGUGGACGCCAGUCUGCAUGGAGCCGACCUUGAAAUACCACCCUUUAAUGUUUGAUGUUCUAACGUGGACCCGUUACCCGGGUUGCGGACAGUGUCUGGUGGGUAGUUUGACUGGGGCGGUCUCCUCCUAAAGAGUAACGGAGGAGCACGAAGGUUGGCUAAUCCUGGUCGGACAUCAGGAGGUUAGUGCAAUGGCAUAAGCCAGCUUGACUGCGAGCGUGACGGCGCGAGCAGGUGCGAAAGCAGGUCAUAGUGAUCCGGUGGUUCUGAAUGGAAGGGCCAUCGCUCAACGGAUAAAAGGUACUCCGGGGAUAACAGGCUGAUACCGCCCAAGAGUUCAUAUCGACGGCGGUGUUUGGCACCUCGAUGUCGGCUCAUCACAUCCUGGGGCUGAAGUAGGUCCCAAGGGUAUGGCUGUUCGCCAUUUAAAGUGGUACGCGAGCUGGGUUUAGAACGUCGUGAGACAGUUCGGUCCCUAUCUGCCGUGGGCGCUGGAGAACUGAGGGGGGCUGCUCCUAGUACGAGAGGACCGGAGUGGACGCAUCACUGGUGUUCGGGUUGUCAUGCCAAUGGCACUGCCCGGUAGCUAAAUGCGGAAGAGAUAAGUGCUGAAAGCAUCUAAGCACGAAACUUGCCCCGAGAUGAGUUCUCCCUGAGACUUAGAGUCUCCUGAAGGAA